AUCAUUAGUCUUUUAAUUGAAGACUGGAAUGAAAGAGUAAACCGGGAGAAAUUUUUUAAAGUUAAAAGAAUGAAUUUUACUUUUUAGUAAGAAGGCUAGAAUAUUUCUUUUAGACGAGAAGACCCUAUAAAACUUUAUAUUUUUAUACUUUUAGUAGAGUUAAAAAAUAUUUCACUGGGGCGGUGAGGAAAAAUCUUUCCUUUAAAAUAAAACGGACUUGUUUGGAAUAUCUAGAAAUUUUAAAAAAGAAAUAAGUUACUUUAGGGAUAACAGCUUAAUUUAUUUUGAAAGCUCUAAUUGACAAAUAAGUUUAUGACCUCGAUGU
rnacentral:rRNA from 1 species